rnacentral:rRNA from 3 species
UAGGGAAUCUUCCACAAUGGACGAAAGUCUGAUGGAGCAACGCCGCGUGAGUGAAGAAGGGUUUCGGCUCGUAAAGCUCUGUUGGUAGUGAAGAAAGAUAGAGGUAGUAACUGGCCUUUAUUUGACGGUAAUUACUUAGAAAGUCACGGCUAACUACGUGCCAGCAGCCGCGGUAAUACGUAGGUGGCAAGCGUUGUCCGGAUUUAUUGGGCGUAAAGCGAGUGCAGGCGGUUCAAUAAGUCUGAUGUGAAAGCCUUCGGCUCAACCGGAGAAUUGCAUCAGAAACUGUUGAACUUGAGUGCAGAAGAGGAGAGUGGAACUCCAUGUGUAGCGGUGGAAUGCGUAGAUAUAUGGAAGAACACCAGUGGCGAAGGCGGCUCUCUGGUCUGCAACUGACGCUGAGGCUCGAAAGCAUGGGUAGCGAACAGG